rnacentral:rRNA from 1 species
UUUUAGAAAUUAAUUUAAAGUCUAGCCUGCCCAUUGAGUAUUUUUUAACGGCCGCAGUAUUUUAACUGUGCAAAGGUAGCAUAAUCAUUAGUCUUUUAAUUAAAGGCUGGUAUGAAUGGUUGAAUGAGAUAUUUACUGUUUCAUAAAAAUUAAUAAUAAAACUUUAUUUUUUAGUCAAAAAGCUAAAAUAAAUUUAAAAGACGAGAAGACCCUAUAAAUCUUAAUAUUUUUUUUUAAUUUUAAUUAUAUAGAUAAAUUAAAUUAUUAUUAAAAUAAAUAUUUUAUUGGGGUGAUAUUAAAAUUUAAAAAACUUUUAAUUAAUAAUUUACAUUAAUUAAUGAAUUAUUGAUCCAUAAAUUAUGAUUAUAAAAUUAAGUUACUUUAGGGAUAACAGCGUAAUUUUUUUAAAGAGUUCAUAUUGAUAAAAA